rnacentral:rRNA from 1 species
UACAGAGGGUGCGAGCGUUGUUCGGAAUUACUGGGCGUAAAGGGCGCGUAGGCGGUUCGGUAAGUAGGGGGUGAAAUUCCACGGCUCAACCGUGGGACGGCCUUCUAGACUGCCGGACUUGAGCACGGUAGAGGCAGAUGGAAUUCCCGGUGUAGCGGUGGAAUGCGUAGAGAUCGGGAAGAACACCAGUGGCGAAGGCGGUCUGCUGGGCCGUUGCUGACGCUGAGGCGCGACAGCGUGGGGAGCAAAC